rnacentral:rRNA from 1 species
GUGCCAGCAGCCGCGGUAACACGUAGGAGGCAAGCGUUAUCCGGAUUUACUGGGCGUAAAGCGCGUGCAGGCGGUUCGGUAAGUUGGAUGUGAAAGCUCCUGGCUCAACUGGGAGAGGUCGUUCAAUACUACCGGACUUGAGAGCAGUAGAGGGAGGUGGAAUUCCCGGUGUAGUGGUGAAAUGCGUAGAUAUCGGGAGGAACACCAGUGGCGAAAGCGGCCUCCUGGACUGUUUCUGACGCUCAGACGCGAAAGCUAGGGUAGCAAACGGGAUUAGAUACCCCAGUAGUCC